CCUACGGGAGGCAGCAGUGAGGAAUAUUGGUCAAUGGGCGAGAGCCUGAACCAGCCAAGUCGCGUGAGGGAGUACUGCCCUAUGGGUUGUAAACCUCUUUUGUCGGGGAGCAAAAGCCGGACGUGUCCGGCUGUGAGAGUACCCGAAGAAAAAGCAUCGGCUAACUCCGUGCCAGCAGCCGCGGUAAUACGGAGGAUGCGAGCGUUAUCCGGAUUUAUUGGGUUUAAAGGGAGCGUAGGUGGAUUGUUAAGUCAGUUGUGAAAGUUUGCGGCUCAACCGUAAAAUUGCAGUUGAAACUGGCAGUCUUGAGUACAGUAGAGGUGGGCGGAAUUCGUGGUGUAGCGGUGAAAUGCUUAGAUAUCACGAAGAACCCCGAUUGCGAAGGCAGCAUACCGGUGCACAACUGACGCUCAGGCACGAAAGCGUGGGUAUCGAACAGGAUUAGAUACCCCAGUAGUC
rnacentral:rRNA from 1 species